CCUCCCACGAGCGGAGGCUGCGGCUUCGCGGAGCCGCUGGGGUGCGCCCUAGCGGGCUGCUGAGGUCUCUCCGGAACCUGGGUUCCUCAGGGUGCCAGUGAGGUGCCUCAGGCUCCUGGGCAUGAGUAAGGUGUAAGAGCCAGUGCCUCUCCAACCGCUGCGCGGAGUGACCUUUCUUUCCGAGUGAAUUUGACCUUGGGACAGGAGCCAGGCCCGCGGCGGCCUGAUGAUAGUGUUACUGGACGCCUACAGUGCUGUGCCAGGGACUACGCUGCAGGGCUUAGAUGCAUUUAUCUCUACGUCGCUCCUAGGGGCAUAGUGACAGAUGCCCAUAGUGCCUGAAUGCUCAGAGCCAGACCACUCACUCUGGCCCCAACAGCUGAGCUCAAUCCCUGGAAAGUUGGAAAACAAGGUUAGCAUGCUAAGAAAGGAGGAGCAGAACUAGGCAGGAAGGCCCAAAACUGGAAGAGCCAACAAGUUACUGCCUCCUUCUCCCACUGCAGGCUGCUGGCUAGAAGCCUGCACUAAAGGACAAGUCUCAACUUUUAGUCCACGUCAGAGAUUUCUACAUAGGACCAGGCAUUUAAGACUGAGCUUGUGUUUCAACUUAAAGUGAUUAUAUGAUUUUUUAAAUCACCUACAUUUUUUUAAAAAAAAGGUCCUGGAACCAGCAUUUUGGUCCAAGAGCAAAGAAAAAACCGAGUUCAGCUUCCAAUGUAAUGACACAGUGGAGUCAUUAUACCAUCACCUCCCACAGGUCAUUGCUACCCAAUGUGACAGUGACACAUCAAGACUACGUCUACUAGAGGGGCAUCUGGGUGGUUCAGUUAGCUAAGCGUUCAACUCUUGGUUUCUGCCCAGAUCAUGAUCUCAGGGUCCUGGGAUCGAGCCCUGUGUGGGGAGUCCACUUGAGGAUUCUCUCUCUCCCUCUACCUCAGGCCCUCCCCACUACUCUCUCAAUUAAAAAAGAAAAGAAAAAAAGACUAUAUUUACCAGAAAUUGUCUCAGAUUUCUCAUCUUUGAGUAGCACUUCAGAUUUCAUGAGUUUAUCCCAUGGGUUCUUUCAGUAGAUUUUAGAGGCGAGCCUAUUCCCAUACCACCACCUUGUCCAGGGGCACCCACCUCUAAUCAGAAAUAUGACUUUAAAUCUAGAAAAUAGUGUGAAAAGUUACAACUUAGUUUCCUCAAGACAUGUUAUGGCAUUCUGAAUUGUUUUCAAAUGUUUCUUGAAAUUCUUUUAGAAAAGUUGAGGUGCCUAGUUGCUCAAUUAAGUGCCUGACUCUGGAUUUCAGCUCAGGUCAUGAUCUCAGUGUUGUGAGAGAUCAAGCCUGGGCAGCCUCAGUGACACAGCGGUUUAGCGCCGCCUGCAGCCCAGGGCGUGAUCCUGGAGACCCUGGAUCGUCCCACGUUGGGCUCUCUGCAUGGAGCCUGCUUCUCUCUCUAUUUCUCUCUC